GGGGAUUUAGUUCAGUGGUAUAAACACCUGCCUUGCAAGCAGGCAGUUGUGAGUUCAAUCCCCG
rnacentral:tRNA from 1 species